ensembl:snRNA U2 U2 spliceosomal RNA
AAGACAUCUAAUUUGGAUAUGAGAAUUAUCUGUUCUAAUCAGUUUAAUAUCUGAUACGUCCUCUAUAUGGUGACUUUAUAUUAAAUAGAUUUUUAGAGCAGGGAGAUGGAACAGGGGCUUGCUCUGUCUGCUCCAUGCAUCGACCUGGUAUUGCAGUACCUCUGGGAACGGUGCACCUCCU